UACGAAGGGUGCAAGCGUUAAUCGGAAUUACUGGGCGUAAAGCGUGCGUAGGUGGUUUGUUAAGUCUGAUGUGAAAGCCCUGGGCUCAACCUGGGAACGGCAUUGGAAACUGGCUUACUAGAGUGCGGUAGAGGGUAGCGGAAUUUCCGGUGUAGCGGUGAAAUGCGUAGAGAUCGGAAGGAACAUCCGUGGCGAAGGCGGCUACCUGGACCAGCACUGACACUGAGGCACGAAAGCGUGGGGAGCAAACAGG
rnacentral:rRNA from 1 species